rnacentral:misc_RNA from 1 species
GCACGCCUCCGCUACCGUCUCUGUCACCGCCGCCACCGCGCCGCCGUGGAGGGUGUUGUAGGGGUUCGUGACGGAGGGCUUGACGGUGAAGGAGCAGGUGAGGCGGCCGCGGUCGAUGGUCUCGAUUUUGAUGAGUCCGCGGAUGAGGUCGGAGUGGAAAUUGGGGGAGGUUGAGGAGUCGGGGAUGGGGGUGAAGAGGCCGAGGGCGCGAAAGAAGCCCU